AACGAACGCUGGCGGCAUGCCUAACACAUGCAAGUCGAACGAGACCUUCGGGUCUAGUGGUGCACGGGUGUUUAACGCGUGGGAACCUGCCCUUAGGUUCGGAAUAACUUCCCGUAAGGGGUGCUCAUACCGGAUAAUGUCUUCGGACCAAAGAUUUAUCGCCUUUGGAUGGGCCCGCGUUGGAUUAGCUAGUUGGUAGGGUAAAAGCAUACCAAGGCGACGAUCCAUAGCUGGUCUGAGAGGAUGAUCAGCCACACUGGGACUGAGACACGGCCCAGACUCCUACGGGAGGCAGCAGUGGGGAAUAUUGGACAAUGGGCGAAAGCCUGAUCCAGCAAGGCCGGGAGAGUGAUGAAGGCAUUAGGGAAGUAAAGCUCGUUUACCCGAGAAGAUAAUGACAGUACCGGAAGAAUAAGCUCCGGCUAACUACGUG
rnacentral:rRNA from 1 species